AGCAGCCGCGGUAAUUCCAGCUCCAAUAGCGUAUAUUAAAGUUGUUGCAGUUAAAAAGCUCGUAGUUGAAUUUCGGGAUCAGUUGAUCGGUCGUGCCUCGGUACGUACUGGUCAAAUUGAUUCCUACCUUCUGACGAACCACGAUGUCAUUAAUUUGGUGUCGUGGGAAAUCAGGACUGUUACUUUGAAAAAAUUAGAGUGUUUAAAGCAGGCUCGCGCUUGAAUACAUUAGCAUGGAAUAAUGAAAUAGGACGUUUGAUUCUAUUUUGUUGGUUUCUAGGAUCGACGUAAUGAUUAAUAGGGAUAGUUGGGGGCAUUAGUAUUCAAUUGUCAGAGGUGAGAUUCUUGGAUUUAUUGAAGACUAACUACUGCGAAAGCAUUUGCCAAGGAUGUUUUCAUUAAUCAAGAACGAAAGUUAGGGGAUCGAAGACGAUCAGAUACCGUCGUAGUCUUAACCAUAAACUAUGCCGACUAGGGAUCGGAUGAUGUUAAUUUUUAAUGUACUCAUUCG
rnacentral:rRNA from 1 species